rnacentral:tRNA from 1 species
GGGGUGUUAGCUCAGUUGGUUAGAGCGCUGGCCUGUCAAGCCAGAGGCCGCGGGUUCAAGUCCCGUACAUCCCGCCA